rnacentral:rRNA from 1 species
UACGUAGGGGGCAAGCGUUGUCCGGAAUCAUUGGGCGUAAAGCGAGUGUAGGCGGCUUGGUAAGUCCGCUCUGAAAGCCCGGGGCUCAACCCCGGGAGGCGGGUGGAUACUGUCAAGCUCGAGUCCGGAAGAGGCGAGUGGAAUUCCUGGUGUAGCGGUGAAAUGCGCAGAUAUCAGGAGGAACACCAAUGGCGAAGGCAGCUCGCUGGGACGUGACUGACGCUGAGACGCGAAAGCGUGGGGAGCAAACAGG